CACGUAGGGGGCAAGCGUUUGUCCGGAUUUAUUGGGCGUAAAGAGCUCGUAGGCGGUUCGGUAAGUCGGGUGUGAAACCUCCAGGCUCAACCUGGAGACGCCACCCGAUACUGCUGUGACUAGAGUCCGGUAGGGGAGCGUGGAAUUCCUGGUGUAGCGGUGAAAUGCGCAGAUAUCAGGAGGAACACCAGCGGCGAAGGCGGCGCUCUGGGCCGGAACUGACGC
rnacentral:rRNA from 1 species